UACAGAGGUCUCAAGCGUUGUUCGGAUUCAUUGGGCGUAAAGGGUGCGUAGGUGGUGAUGCAAGUCUGGUGUGAAAUCUCGGAGCUUAACUCCGAAAUUGCACCGGAUACUGCGUUGCUCGAGGACUGUAGAGGAGAUCGGAAUUCACGGUGUAGCAGUGAAAUGCGCAGAUAUCAGGAGGAACACCGGUGGCGAAGGCGGGUCUCUGGGCCGAUACUGACGCUGAGGAGCGAAAGCGUGGGGAGCAAACAGG
rnacentral:rRNA from 1 species